rnacentral:rRNA from 1 species
UACGGAAGGUCCGAGCGUUAUCCGGAUUUAUUGGGUUUAAAGGGUGCGUAGGCGGGGAAGCAAGUCAGCCGUAAAUUUGUUGAGCUCAACUCAAUCCCGCGGUUGAAACUGCCUCCCUUGAGUACACUAGAGGGCGAUGGAAUUCGUGGUGUAGCGGUGAAAUGCAUAGAUAUCACGAAGAACUCCGAUUGCGUAGGCAGUCGCCUGGGGUGCCACUGACGCUGAGGCACGAAGGUGCGGGUAUCAAACA